GUGUCAGCAGCCGCGGUAAUACGGGGGGUGCAAGCGUUGCUCGGAAUCACUGGGCGUAAAGCGUCCGCAGGCGGCUUGAUAAGUCGGGUGUGAAAGCCCGGGGCUCAACCCCGGAACUGCAUUCGAAACUGUCUGGCUUGAGUACGAGAGAGGGUCGUGGAAUUCCUGGUGUAGAGGUGAAAUUCGUAGAUAUCAGGAGGAACACCGGUGGCGAAAGCGGCGACCUGGCUCGAUACUGACGCUCAUGGACGAAAGCGUGGGGAGCAAACAGGAUUAGAUACCCCGGUAGUCC
rnacentral:rRNA from 1 species